GCCAUGAUGAGGUCCAGAGGCUGCAAUAUCGCCCUGAGUGAAGAGGAGAGAAAGUUGGAGUUACUCUGAACCCGAAAAGAUGAAUCAUUCAGACAGCUGCACUGAGGGCGAAGAUGAUGUUUUCGAAUCUCAACACGAACAGUCGAAAAGGUCAGAGGUCACCACCAAGGCAGCGGCAGGGGUGAUUCUCUGUGUUGUCCUGGCGACUGCCAUCUUUUUGAUUUUCUACUUCU